GACGAACGCUGGCGGCGUGCUUAACACAUGCAAGUCGAACGGAAAGGCCCUGCUUUUGUGGGGUGCUCGAGUGGCGAACGGGUGAGUAACACGUGAGUAACCUGCCCCUGACUUUGGGAUAACUUCAGGAAACUGGGGCUAAUACCGGAUAGGAGCUCCUGCUGCAUGGUGGGGGUUGGAAAGUUUCGGCGGUUGGGGAUGGACUCGCGGCCUAUCAGCUUGUUGGUGGGGUAGUGGCUUACCAAGGCCUUGACGGGUAGCCGGCCUGAGAGGGUGACCGGCCACAUUGGGACUGAGAUACGGCCCAGACUCCUACGGGAGGCAGCAGUGGGGAAUAUUGCACAAUGGGCGGAAGCCUGAUGCAGCAACGCCGCGUGCGGGAUGACGGCCUUCGGGUUGUAAACCGCUUUCGCCUGUGACGAAGCGUGAGUGACGGUAAUGGGUAAAGAAGCACCGGCUAACUACGUG
rnacentral:rRNA from 1 species